ACAUAUUUUUUCCUAACAUAAUAUUAUAACAGUAAAAAAUACUAUAAUAAAUAAAGGUCAAUUUCAUAUACGUCCUUACAAACAAAACGAAUUAUAAAUAUAUCAUCACAAAGUUCACCUUUCAUAUAUUGUCUCUACAAAGGUCCUAAUAUUUUCAAAUAUAUCUCUCUGAUUUAUUACUGUUAAAAUACUAUUUAUUUUAUAAAUAAAAUGAUCUUUUUACCGUCACAAAUAUGUACCUCUAAAAGUCCCAAUUAUUAAUUAAAGAUGAAUAAAAAGGUCAAUUCAUCUCAUUAACUAAUCAAAGUUAAGUAUUUUACCUAUGAUUAACUAAUUUUUUCUAACAUAUCUUAACAGUAGGGACAUAUUUAAAAAUAUUAGAAUAUUUAUACGAACAAUAUAUAAAGAUUAAACCUUGUAGGGAUAUAUUUGUAAUUUAUUAUAUUUAUAGGGACGUGUAUAAAAUUAAUGCUAAAUAAUAUUAUAUUAUCCCUUAUUAAAAUAACCAACCCCAACAAC
rnacentral:lncRNA from 1 species